CCUACGGGGGGCAGCAGUGGGGAAUAUUGCACAAUGGGGGAAACCCUGAUGCAGCGACGCCGCGUGAGCGAUGAAGUAUUUCGGUAUGUAAAGCUCUAUCAGCAGGGAAGAAAAUGACGGUACCUGACUAAGAAUCCCCGGCUAACUACGUGCCAGCAGCCGCGGUAACACGUAGGGGGCAAGCGUUAUCCGGAUUUACUGGGUGUAAAGGGAGCGUAGGCGGUGGUGCAAGUCAGAUGUGAAAGCCCGGGGCUCAACCCCGGGACUGCAUUUGGAACUGUGCGGCUAGAGUGUAGGAGAGGUAGGCGGAAUGCCUAGUGUAGCGGUGAAAUGCGUAGAUAUUAGGAGGAACACCAGUGGCGAAGGCGGCCUGCUGGACGGUGACUGACGUUGAGGCUCGAAAGCGUGGGGAGCAAACAGGAUUAGAUACCCUAGUAGUC
rnacentral:rRNA from 1 species